rnacentral:rRNA from 1 species
AUACGUAGGGGGCGAGCGUUGUCCGGAAUGAUUGGGCGUAAAGGGCGCGUAGGCGGCCCGGUAAGUCUGGAGUGAAAGUCCUGUUUUUAAGAUGGGAAUUGCUUUGGAUACUGUCGGGCUUGAGUGCAGGAGAGGUAAGUGGAAUUCCCAGUGUAGCGGUGAACUGCGUAGAGAUUGGGAGGAACAUCAGUGUCGAAGGCGACUUACUGGACGGUAACUGACGCUGAGGCGCGUAAGUGUGGGGAGCAAACAUGAUUAGAUACCCUGGUAGUCCACACUGUAAACGAUGAAUGCUAGGGGUAGGUGGUAUCGACCCCUUCUGUGCCGCAGUCAACACAAUAAGCAUUCCGCCUGGGGAGUACGGCCGCAAGGUUGAAACUCAAAGGAAUUGUCGGGG